GGAAGGGCUGUAGCUCAAUGGAAGAACAACUAUCUUGCAUGCAGAAGGUCUCAGGUUCAAAUCCUGGUAUCUCCA